UACGUAGGGUGCAAGCGUUAAUCGGAAUUACUGGGCGUAAAGCGUGCGCAGGCGGUUAUGUAAGACAGAUGUGAAAUGCCCGGGCUUAACCUGGGAACUGCAUUUGUGACUGCAUGGCUAGAGUUUGGCAGAGGGGGGUGAGAAUUCCACGUGUAGCAGUGAAAUGCGUAGAUAUGUGGAGGAACACCGAUGGCGAAGGCAGCCCCCUGGGUCAAGACUGACGCUCAUGCACGAAAGCGUGGGGAGC
rnacentral:rRNA from 1 species